rfam:Salmo salar isolate Sally breed double haploid chromosome ssa16, whole genome shotgun sequence.
AAUGCACCAAUUUGUAAGUCGCUCUGGAUAAGAGCGUCUACCUAAAUGACUUAAA